UUAAGCGACUAAGCGUACACGGUGGAUGCCCUGGCAGUCAGAGGCGAUGAAGGACGUGCUAAUCUGCGAUAAGCGUCGGUAAGGUGAUAUGAACCGUUAUAACCGGCGAUUUCCGAAUGGGGAAACCCAGUGUGUUUCGACACACUAUCAUUAACUGAAUCCAUAGGUUAAUGAGGCGAACCGGGGGAACUGAAACAUCUAAGUACCCCGAGGAAAAGAAAUCAACCGAGAUUCCCCCAGUAGCGGCGAGCGAACGGGGAGCAGCCCAGAGCCUGAAUCAGUGUGUGUGUUAGUGGAAGCGUCUGGAAAGGCGCGCGAUACAGGGUGACAGCCCCGUACACAAAAAUGCACAUGCUGUGAGCUCGAUGAGUAGGGCGGGACACGUGGUAUCCUGUCUGAAUAUGGGGGGACCAUCCUCCAAGGCUAAAUACUCCUGACUGACCGAUAGUGAACCAGUACCGUGAGGGAAAGGCGAAAAGAACCCCGGCGAGGGGAGUGAAAAAGAACCUGAAACCGUGUACGUACAAGCAGUGGGAGCACGCUUAGGCGUGUGACUGCGUACCUUUUGUAUAAUGGGUCAGCGACUUAUAUUCUGUAGCAAGGUUAACCGAAUAGGGGAGCCGAAGGGAAACCGAGUCUUAACUGGGCGUUAAGUUGCAGGGUAUAGACCCGAAACCCGGUGAUCUAGCCAUGGGCAGGUUGAAGGUUGGGUAACACUAACUGGAGGACCGAACCGACUAAUGUUGAAAAAUUAGCGGAUGACUUGUGGCUGGGGGUGAAAGGCCAAUCAAACCGGGAGAUAGCUGGUUCUCCCCGAAAGCUAUUUAGGUAGCGCCUCGUGAAUUCAUCUCCGGGGGUAGAGCACUGUUUCGGCAAGGGGGUCAUCCCGACUUACCAACCCGAUGCAAACUGCGAAUACCGGAGAAUGUUAUCACGGGAGACACACGGCGGGUGCUAACGUCCGUCGUGAAGAGGGAAACAACCCAGACCGCCAGCUAAGGUCCCAAAGUCAUGGUUAAGUGGGAAACGAUGUGGGAAGGCCCAGACAGCCAGGAUGUUGGCUUAGAAGCAGCCAUCAUUUAAAGAAAGCGUAAUAGCUCACUGGUCGAGUCGGCCUGCGCGGAAGAUGUAACGGGGCUAAACCAUGCACCGAAGCUGCGGCAGCGACGCUUAUGCGUUGUUGGGUAGGGGAGCGUUCUGUAAGCCUGCGAAGGUGUGCUGUGAGGCAUGCUGGAGGUAUCAGAAGUGCGAAUGCUGACAUAAGUAACGAUAAAGCGGGUGAAAAGCCCGCUCGCCGGAAGACCAAGGGUUCCUGUCCAACGUUAAUCGGGGCAGGGUGAGUCGACCCCUAAGGCGAGGCCGAAAGGCGUAGUCGAUGGGAAACAGGUUAAUAUUCCUGUACUUGGUGUUACUGCGAAGGGGGGACGGAGAAGGCUAUGUUGGCCGGGCGACGGUUGUCCCGGUUUAAGCGUGUAGGCUGGUUUUCCAGGCAAAUCCGGAAAAUCAAGGCUGAGGCGUGAUGACGAGGCACUACGGUGCUGAAGCAACAAAUGCCCUGCUUCCAGGAAAAGCCUCUAAGCAUCAGGUAACAUCAAAUCGUACCCCAAACCGACACAGGUGGUCAGGUAGAGAAUACCAAGGCGCUUGAGAGAACUCGGGUGAAGGAACUAGGCAAAAUGGUGCCGUAACUUCGGGAGAAGGCACGCUGAUAUGUAGGUGAAGCGACUUGCUCGUGGAGCUGAAAUCAGUCGAAGAUACCAGCUGGCUGCAACUGUUUAUUAAAAACACAGCACUGUGCAAACACGAAAGUGGACGUAUACGGUGUGACGCCUGCCCGGUGCCGGAAGGUUAAUUGAUGGGGUCAGCGCAAGCGAAGCUCUUGAUCGAAGCCCCGGUAAACGGCGGCCGUAACUAUAACGGUCCUAAGGUAGCGAAAUUCCUUGUCGGGUAAGUUCCGACCUGCACGAAUGGCGUAAUGAUGGCCAGGCUGUCUCCACCCGAGACUCAGUGAAAUUGAACUCGCUGUGAAGAUGCAGUGUACCCGCGGCAAGACGGAAAGACCCCGUGAACCUUUACUAUAGCUUGACACUGAACAUUGAGCCUUGAUGUGUAGGAUAGGUGGGAGGCUUUGAAGUGUGGACGCCAGUCUGCAUGGAGCCGACCUUGAAAUACCACCCUUUAAUGUUUGAUGUUCUAACGUGGACCCGUAAUCCGGGUUGCGGACAGUGUCUGGUGGGUAGUUUGACUGGGGCGGUCUCCUCCUAAAGAGUAACGGAGGAGCACGAAGGUUGGCUAAUCCUGGUCGGACAUCAGGAGGUUAGUGCAAUGGCAUAAGCCAGCUUGACUGCGAGCGUGACGGCGCGAGCAGGUGCGAAAGCAGGUCAUAGUGAUCCGGUGGUUCUGAAUGGAAGGGCCAUCGCUCAACGGAUAAAAGGUACUCCGGGGAUAACAGGCUGAUACCGCCCAAGAGUUCAUAUCGACGGCGGUGUUUGGCACCUCGAUGUCGGCUCAUCACAUCCUGGGGCUGAAGUAGGUCCCAAGGGUAUGGCUGUUCGCCAUUUAAAGUGGUACGCGAGCUGGGUUUAGAACGUCGUGAGACAGUUCGGUCCCUAUCUGCCGUGGGCGCUGGAGAACUGAGGGGGGCUGCUCCUAGUACGAGAGGACCGGAGUGGACGCAUCACUGGUGUUCGGGUUGUCAUGCCAAUGGCACUGCCCGGUAGCUAAAUGCGGAAGAGAUAAGUGCUGAAAGCAUCUAAGCACGAAACUUGCCCCGAGAUGAGUUCUCCCUGACUCCUUGAGAGUCCUGAAGGAACGUUGAAGACGACGACGUUGAUAGGCCGGGUGUGUAAGCGCAGCGAUGCGUUGAGCUAACCGGUACUAAUGAACCGUGAGGCUUAACCU
rnacentral:rRNA from 1 species